AUAUCACGAAGAAAGAUCCAAGAAAAACAUCCAGCCUUAUGUUUUGGUUUCUGAAUCAGUACCAAUUCCGCUCGUCGGAAGAAACGAACUCAACCGAGCAACAAAAUCACUAAUCCUUCUCCAAACAUCUCUUUAUAAGGGGGAAAAGUUGAAUUGGGAGGAAGAGAACAAGAAGGUAAACAUGCAGAAACCUAGAAUUUUCUAUCUGCAAUAUUAUUAUUUUUUUGUUGUAAGUUGAUGUUUUUAGUACAUUAAAAAUCAGAUUGGGUUUUCAGAUGAGUUUGAUCCAUUCUUUCUUCUACACUCGGUGAGAGGCACUACCACUACCAACACAACCCAAACUCUCACUUCAAUCAAUUUUGCUACUACCGGUUUCUUAUAUCAUUCAAAUUAAAGAUUUAUCUUAAUUCAAAUUCGUCAAACAGUGAUGAAUUUGAUUUUGGGUUUAUAUCAGUAACACAGAUCGAAAAAUUAUACCCUUAUAGAAGAGGGGAACAUUCAGGACCCCUCUUGAUUAUACAUAUUUUCUCUCUUCGUAUCAAUAGAUAUCAUGUGAUACCAAUGAACUUAUACCUAGCAUCACUAAUGCACAAAGCCUCAACCCUGUCACACCAUGUGUUCACUAAUAUGCAUAUUGAUACAGUGGAGACAAACUGAUAAUAACCGUCUGGUGACUGUAUUUUGCAAGUCGGUAGUAAUGUUGCAGAACAUUCAGCAAUUGUACGUAGUCAUAAUGUGCUCCAACUUCGUAAAGAAAUUCCAAGGCAACUAAUGGAUUGUCGUGGGUUAAAUUUUUUGCUAUCCCUGCUAGGUUGAUUGAAGUACUCCGUGUUAGGUUGAUUCUAAUUUUUUAUAGUGCUAGGUUGGCAAGGAAGUACUUUCUGUCUUCCACUAAUGGUAUGAAGGCAUAUCUGUUAACCUUAACUUACCUGAAUGUAAGUGAUAGCAUGGUGUAAGAAAUGGGUUAUAAGAUUUGGAAGCUAAAUAAGUCUUGAGGCUCCUGUUGAGUGCAUCCAUAACACCUAUGUUCCUUGAUGUGUAUCUUAAGUAAGAUAGUAAAUUUUUAUUUCUAUGUUCCUUCAUUUGGAAAACUCUACAUUUCUGUAAGGUUUGAGAAAUUGUUGAGAAUCAACGCCCAAACUUGGCCAAGUGGAGUAAUUACUGUAAAAUGGUUUGUAGAAAGAUCACUUGCAUCAAUAGAGCAAUAUGAAUCAUCUCACUUGCAUCUAUAUAGCAAAAUAAGCAUCACCUGGUGCGUGGAACGUGAUCAUCCUUUAAUGAAGUGGAAAACGACGUCUUUGGUGAAGCAACAAUAUGUGCAGUAAAGGUAGCAUACUUUUACAGAGCAGAUCAUGGUAUAAUUUUCUGUAAGACAAAACAGUCUAGAAGAUUUGAACGGAAGGCAUUUCGUAAAACUCUUGGUUGAUUCUUCUAGGUGAUACAAACUUUCUACUGUUCUUGGACUAUUUUCAGUGGGCAUCGAGAUACUGGGUUUGACUCGGCUCCAGAUUAAUUUUUUUUUUUCUUUGAAGCAUAAUUAAGUUAUUGUAAGUUCUUCAACCAACACCUCAAACAACAAAAAAAGAAAAAGAAAACAUAAUAACCAGCUUUUUUUUGAAGCAUAAUAACCAGUUUUUUUUCUUCUUCUUUGCA